rnacentral:rRNA from 1 species
UAAAAAAUUAUUUAUUUUAGGUAGUAACAGAUUUCUCAAAACCUAAAGAAUUUGGCGGUAUUUUAAAUAAUUAGAGGAACCUGUUAAUUAAUUGACAAUCCACAUCACAUCUAACCUAAAUUUUAUUUGUAUACCGUUGUUUUCAGAUUAUAUCUAAAGAUUAUAAUCAAUAAUAAUAAAUUUUUAUAAAUCAAAUCAAGGUGCAGUAUGUUUAGGGUUUAAUGGGUUACAAUAUAUUUAUAUAAUAUGAAUUAAUAAUGAAAAUAAUUAUGAAAGUGGAUUUAAAAGUAAUUUAAAAUUAAAAUGUUUAAAUGAAUAAAAAUUUAAAAUAUGC